UGCUUAUUGAUUAUUAUUUAUUUUUUAGAGAAACAACUUAAUUUUGAGACAAACCAUUUUUCGUGACAUCAUCCAUUAUAUUUUUUUUUCUAUUUUUAUCAACUGGGACUACCCAUAAUUUAUUUUGAUUUAUUUUAGUGGAGGUAUUUUGGUCCUGAAGUUAUCUUAUUGCAAGAUUGCAGGAUUGUCAGAUUAUAUGUAAUCAUAUAGCCACCUUCUCCUAGACAAUCAAAUUAUCUCUUUUUGAGAUAAUGCUGUAUUAUAUGUAAUGUAGCAUUAUCUGUGAAAGUA
rnacentral:lncRNA from 1 species